rnacentral:sRNA from 1 species
GGCUUCCUGGAGGAAGGAGCAGAUAAGAGAUUCAGGAGGCAAGUUGUUCUGAUGGGGCAGAGGGUUCUGGAGAGCAUCAGGGGUGAGGAGGAGUUCCCUUUGAAACCCAGCCCCCACCACUCUCCCCCACACCCAAGGGCGUAUCUUUCCUUGGCAGGUUCAGAACCUCAUGGCCCGAGCUGAAUACCUGAAGGAGCAGAUGAGGGAAUCUCGCUGGGAAGCUGACACCCUGGACAAAGAGGGACUGUCGGAAUCUGUUCGUAGCUCUUGCACCCUUCAGUGACCCUAGAAGAAUGAUUGGACAGACGUGAGCCAUCUGGAGCAGAGGGACACUAACCCAGGCUGACGCCAAGAAUGAAGUGGCCCACUGCAGCCCUGGCGAGCAGGCUUCUUAGAUGGACAGAGCUGAGACCCCCACAUCCCAGAGUCCCCAGCCUCCCUCAGGUUACUCUGCACCCCACAGAUGGUUUGAUGGCUGUGCUGUAUACUGGAGGGGAGGGCAGGACUCUGGGAGAACAGCACUUCUUUCAUGAGACCUUUGUUACUUGGUGGUUACUGGGUCCUGUGCCUGUCUGUUUUGGGGCAUGCAGCCGUCUAUCGUUUUUGGCUCCGAGAAGAGGGCAAGGGGCCUCUGCAGGGCACUUCUGUGCUUGCCCUCGCCCUGCCAGCAGGCAGCUGUGCCCCUGGCCUGCCCUUCCCGGGACCC